UACGAAGGGGGCUAGCGUUGCUCGGAAUCACUGGGCGUAAAGCGCACGUAGGCGGAUCGUUAAGUCGGGGGUGAAAUCCUGGAGCUCAACUCCAGAACUGCCUCCGAUACUGGCGAUCUUGGAGUCCGGGAGAGGUGAGUGGAACUCCGAGUGUAGAGGUGAAAUUCGUAGAUAUUCGGAAGAACACCAGUGGCGAAGGCGGCUCACUGGCCCGGUACUGACGCUGAGGUGCGAAAGCGUGGGGAGCAAGCAGG
rnacentral:rRNA from 1 species